rnacentral:rRNA from 1 species
GACGAACGCUGGCGGCGUGCUUAACACAUGCAAGUCCAACGGAAAGGCCCUGCUUAUGUGGGGUGCUCGAGUGGCGAACGGGUGCGUAACACGUGAGUAACCUGCCCUCGACUUUGGGAUAACUUCCGGAAACUGGGGCUAAUCCCGGAUAGCAGCACCUGCUGCAUGGUGGGGGUUGGUAAGUUUCGGCGGGUGGGGAUGGACUCGCGGCUUAUCUGACUGGUGGUGGGGGUGUGGCUUACCAAGGCCUUGACGGGUAGCCGGCCUGAGAGGGUGAACGGCCACAUUGGGAAGGAGAUACGGCCAAGACUCCUACGGGAGGCAGCGGUGGGGAAUAUUGCACAGUGGGCGGAAGCCUGAUGCAACAACGCAGCGUGCGGGAUGACGGCAUUCGGGUUGUAAACCGCUUUCGCCUGUGACGAAGCGUGAGUGACGGUAAUGGGUAAAGAAGCACCGGCUAACUACGUG